ensembl:lncRNA
GGUGCCCCGGAUGGAAACGGCAGACCAUGGAAGUGGGAUGUGGAAGGUGGGAGAUGGAUGUGGAAGGGCCCAUCUCCCUCCUUGACUCCUCCCCUCUGUCUCUGCUUCCUGGCCCCCGGAAAUGAGCAACUUUCUUCCUCCCAGACUCUUUCCACUGUGCCGUUUUCCCCUUGGAGCUGACCAACCAUGGACUGAAAGUGGGAUGCAAGGAGAGUGACCUGAGAACAUGGGGUCGCCCAGGAGAAGGUCUGAGGCCGGAAGGGACACUGACAUCUGAGGAAGAGAAGGAAGGGUACCGCAGCUAAAAUCUAGAAGGCAAAGAGGAAACUGGCAUAAGACGAAAUGGAAAGGAAGGGGGCUCUAAGCUGGUUUAAAAUAAUUGCAAUUUAGACCAAGAGCAAUGCAGAGCCACAGACUGGGUGUUUACAAUAUAGAACUACGAAAAGGAUAGAAGGAGGACUCUUGUCCAUUAAAAGUUUUUCUAUAAUUCAGAGCUGAAGAAAUGAAUCAGUGCCAUUGUUUUGCUGAAGGUCAAUACCAGAUAAUUCACAAAAAGAAAGAACACCCAGGAAAUCACAGGACAAGAUGCAAUUUCAGGUAUCCAGCUCAGCACCCAAACUAGUCACCAUUUAACUCUGGAAGCAAAGACCAGAAUGAACCCUCAUACAUUGUGCCAGUGCGGAUGAGCUUGGUAUCAUUCAUCUUUCUCAGAAAUAAUAAAAAUCCCAAUGCUAUGAGGAGCUAACUGUGCAAAGUUAUUUCUCCAUUUAUAACAGGAGUAUGAGAAGGAUUCAUAAUUCACCUGAUUUUGGAUGCACCCUCUGCCAAGACUAGAUUAUUCUGGGAAGAGAUCACAGUUGAAAACAAUGGUAAAAACUUCUUUAGUUUUAAAAUUAUGCUUAAUGCCAGAAAUGAGCCACACACAGGAUGAGUCGUCUGACUAUGGCUAGA